GGGAAUGUGGCUUAGUGGUAGAGUGCUUGUCUAACAUGCAUGAAGCCCUGGGUUCGAUUCCUCAGUACCA
rnacentral:tRNA from 1 species